rnacentral:tRNA from 1 species
GCCCAUGUAGCUCAGGUGGUUAGAGCGCAUCCUUGGUAAGGAUGAGGUCCGCGGUUCAACUCCGCGCAUGGGCUCCA